rnacentral:rRNA from 1 species
GUCCUCUUGUUUAUUAUAUGAGGUCAAGCCUGCCCGGUGAUAAUUAUUUAACGGCCGCGGUAUUUUGACCGUGCAAAGGUAGCAUAAUCAUUAGUCUUUUAAUAGGGGGCUGGAAUGAAGGGCUUGACGAGGCGCUAACUGUCUCAAUUAAAUAAGUUAAAAUUUAGCUUUUGAGUUAAAAGGCUCAAAUUCUUUUGGAAGACGAGAAGACCCUAUAGAGCUUUAAUGGUCAAUUUUAAUGGCUGUUGUGUUUCAUUUUUACUGCUGUUGAUUAGACUUUUUUGUUGGGGCGACAAAAGAUAUAUAUUUAACUUUUAUUAUUUAUUAUACAUUUAUUUAUGAUUCUUAGAUCCAUUAUUAUUGAUUAGUAGAAUAAGUUACCUUAGGGAUAACAGCGUAAUCUUCCUCCAGAGCUCGAAUUUACAGGAAGGCUUGCGACCUCGAUGUUGGAUUAAGAUAAUGAUUGGGUGCAGUAGCCCAAUUAAUAGGUCUGUUCGACCUUUAAAUUCUU